rnacentral:rRNA from 1 species
GAUGAACGCUGGCGGCGUGCCUAAUACAUGCAAGUCGAGCGAACGGACGAGAAGCUUGCUUCUCUGAUGUUAGCGGCGGACGGGUGAGUAACACGUGGAUAACCUACCUAUAAGACUGGGAUAACUUCGGGAAACCGGAGCUAAUACCGGAUAAUAUUUUGAACCGCAUGGUUCAAAAGUGAAAGACGGUCUUGCUGUCACUUAUAGAUGGAUCCGCGCUGCAUUAGCUAGUUGGUAAGGUAACGGCUUACCAAGGCAACGAUGCAUAGCCGACCUGAGAGGGUGAUCGGCCACACUGGAACUGAGACACGGUCCAGACUCCUACGGGAGGCAGCAGUAGGGAAUCUUCCGCAAUGGGCGAAAGCCUGACGGAGCAACGCCGCGUGAGUGAUGAAGGUCUUCGGAUCGUAAAACUCUGUUAUUAGGGAAGAACAUAUGUGUAAGUAACUGUGCACAUCUUGACGGUACCUAAUCAGAAAGCCACGGCUAACUACGUGCCAGCAGCCGCGGUAAUACGUAGGUGGCAAGCGUUAUCCGGAAUUAUUGGGCGUAAAGCGCGCGUAGGCGGUUUUUUAAGUCUGAUGUGAAAGCCCACGGCUCAACCGUGGAGGGUCAUUGGAAACUGGAAAACUUGAGUGCAGAAGAGGAAAGUGGGAUUCCAUGUGUAGCGGUGAAAUGCGCAGAGAUAUGGAGGAACACCAGUGGCGAAGGCGACUUUCUGGUCUGUAACUGACGCUGAUGUGCGAAAGCGUGGGGAUCAAACAGGAUUAGAUACCCUGGUAGUCCACGCCGUAAACGAUGAGUGCUAAGUGUUAGGGGGGUUUCCGCCCCUUAGUGCUGCAGCUAACGCAUUAAGCACUCCGCCUGGGGAGUACGACCGCAAGGUUGAAACUCAAAGGAAUUGACGGGGACCCGCACAAGCGGCGGAGCAUGUGGUUUAAUUCGAAGCAACGCGAAGAACCUUACCAAAUCUUGACAUCCUUUGACAACUCUAGAGAUAGAGCCUUCCCCUUCGGGGGACAAAGUGACAGGUGGUGCAUGGUUGUCGUCAGCUCGUGUCGUGAGAUGUUGGGUUAAGUCCCGCAACGAGCGCAACCCUUAAGCUUAGUUGCCAUCAUUAAGUUGGGCACUCUAAGUUGACUGCCGGUGACAAACCGGAGGAAGGUGGGGAUGACGUCAAAUCAUCAUGCCCCUUAUGAUUUGGGCUACACACGUGCUACAAUGGACAAUACAAAGGGCAGCGAAACCGCGAGGUCAAGCAAAUCCCAUAAAGUUGUUCUCAGUUCGGAUUGUAGUCUGCAACUCGACUACAUGAAGCUGGAAUCGCUAGUAAUCGUAGAUCAGCAUGCUACGGUGAAUACGUUCCCGGGUCU